rnacentral:rRNA from 1 species
GACGAACGCUGGCGGCGUGCCUAAUACAUGCAAGUAGGACGCAGUUGCGAACGGGUGAGUAACGCGUAGGUAACUACCUAUUAGAGGGGGAUAACUAUUGGAAACGAUAGCUAAUACCGCAUACUAGUAGAUGGACCUGCGUUGUAUUAGCUAGUAGGUAGGGUAAUGGCCUACCUAGGCAACGAUACAUAGCCGACCUGGGAGGGGGAUCGGUCACACUGGGACUGGGGCACGGCCCAGACUUCUACGGGAGGCCGCAGUAGGGAAUCUGCGGCAAUGGGGGGAACCCGGACCGAGCAACGGCGGGUGAAUGGAUGAGGUUUUCGGAUCGGAGGGGUCUGUUUUUAUGGAAGCGGUACUUAACCAGAAAGGGACGGCUAACUACAUGCCAGCAGCCGCGGUAAUAC